rnacentral:rRNA from 1 species
AUUGACCGCUGGCGGCAGGCUUAACACAUGCAAGUCGAGCGAGCGGCGGACGGGUGAGUAAUGUCUGGGAAACUGCCUGAUGGAGGGGGAUAACUACUGGAAACGGUAGCUAAUACCGCAUACCAUCAGAUGUGCCCAGAUGGGAGUAGCUAGUAGGUGGGGUAAUGGCUCACCUAGGCGACGAUCCCUAGCUGGUCUGAGAGGAUGGCCAGCGACACAUGAGCUGAAGCACGGUACAGAGUCCUACGGGAGGCGGCAGUGGGGAAGAUUGGACAAUGGGCGCAAGCCUGCUGGAGCCAUGCCGCGUGUUGGAAGAGGACCUGCGGGUGGUAUAGCACUUUCAGCGCAGACGCAUUAUUCGCAGAAGAAGCACCGGCAAAAUCCGUGCCAGCCGCCGCGGUAAUUC